CCCACCUCCUUUCGUCUCUCAGAACCCCAUCUCACACAGACCCUAAAUUCGGCCACCUCCUUUCGCCGCAAACCGCCGCUGAAAAUCGUCUCACGGCGGUGGCCGAUCUCCGAUGAACCCAAAAUUACACCAUGGAUGCUCAUUAACCUCUUUUCCCAUAACCAAGCUUAGUUUCAAUCGAAUCAAACCCAACCCUCUCAAAUCUUGAUUUAAAAAUCCGACCCAAAAACCGUAUUUUAUCCAAAUGGCCACAAAUUGAUACCUGAUUAUCCCCUGACCUCCCUGAUCUUGAAUCCAUAGUCGAAAUCCCUUGAAUAUCCCUGAAACUCGACGAAUUUCGGAUCUGAGGUUUUUUAUAUUGCGAUCUGUUUAGAAGUUUCAAGAAUAUGGAUGGCUUUCGAUUAAUGUUAUAUGUUUAUUUUGACAAAAAAUAAACCUAUAACUUUAAUCGAAACUCGAUUCGAAAAAAAUCAGUCAGUUGGGAAGAACAAAGUUCAGUGAGUCUUCUUCUCAUUUUAGUUUUGGUCUAAUUUGAUUCAUGUGUUAUAUGUUAAUUAAGUAUUCCCGGAUAUUCUUAAUUGGUAGUUUGUUUUCAAUGCAAUUCUGUCACUUAAUUAAUUAGGUAACAAAUGUCUAGGUUAAUUACUAUUUUUUUAGCUCUGUUUAAUUUUCGUCCAAUUCUAGCCUUAACUAUUCGGCCGAUAGUUUAAUUGUUAGGUGUUAGUUUGGUUUCAAUUAGCUCAGUUCGAUUUUAAUUGAAUAUUUUUCUGGUAAAUUUUUUUUCUUUUAGAUUUUCAAUUCAAAUACUGUUCUCUACUUGCUUUGAAACUGUUUGAUUUUCGUUUAAUUGAAUUAAUUCUUUUAUUAGUUUAAGCUUAGUUUAAUUGAUCUUUAGUAUUCAUUGGCAGUUUAGUUAGGCUUAAGGUUUGGGUAUAGAUGAGUAGAAUAGUUGAAUUAACUUUAUUUAGAUUUUAACUAAGGUUAAUGGGUUUGGUGGAGUUAGUAAUUUCAGGUAGCAAAUAAGGGUGGUUUGGGCAUAUAAAAGGGUUUUUUGUUAACAAUAGUAAUUUCAAAAUCAAAAUGAGGGUAGUAUAGGUACUGAAUAAGUAAAAGAACACCGUAGGGCCUUCUAGAAGGGGGCCUUAGUGAAAGUUUCUGCAUUUUUAAUGCAGUAACUUGGGCAACAGGUUAAAAGAUGAGGGAUUAAAAGCUGAAAAGGGGAAGGACUAAUAUGAAAAGUGCAAAAUAGAGAGAGUCACUCCCUUAUGCCUAUAAAAAGGUAUCAAAAUGCCUUGAGAAGGAAGUUUUUCGGAGCCUGAAAGUUCCCCCCAAAUGCUCUCUAGUUCUUUGAUUUUGAUUUGAAAUCAAAAAUUGAAAAACCAUAAAAAUUAUAGAAAAAAUCUGAAACUCAAAAAAAAAUUAUUACUGUUUCAUGGCAUAUUCUUAGAUUACUUUCAAUUUUGUUUCGAAAUAUGAGUAGUUUGAUCUAGAUGGUGGUUCAAUGGUUGAAAUUCUGAUAAUUGAAGUUCAGAGAUUUAUGUCGGAUGAAUUUGGGUCUAAUUAGGUUGAUUUGAGGAUGAGUUUGCUUUGCUGAGGUUUCAAAGGUACUUUGAAUUCACUUUUGAGUCUAUUUGGGGUUGAGUCUCUAUUUGCUAUUUGGUUUUGAAACUUUCCUGGAGUGUUAAAUUCGUUUCUGGGUUGAAUCAACUGCUGCUUGUAAUAUUAUUAGGUGUUGACCUUCUUGUUUUUUCUGUCCAUUAAAAAUUCAGGUACACAGUCUGAAAUCACUGAUGUAUCUUCCAGUUGGAUUGAAAUGAAGUAAUGUUCCAGAUCUAUGUUCAUUCGAGUAGUUGAAAUCAGUCCAAAUGACAUGUGGUUGCCUAUCAUUAAUUUGUUUGAAUUGUGGUGGUUGUUAGUUAUUUCAUUUGGUCUAUUUGUUUAAAGACAAAUUUGGAUUAUUUAAUUUGUACUGGACUGUAUUAUUGAGAUUGCCUUAGGUCGAUUGGAACUUUUUUGGCCAUCACUUUGUAAUAAUUAAUUGUAGUCACUUUAGUUCAUUCACUUAGCUAAAUGUUUAAAACUAGAGUAUCAUUAGAUUUAGAAAUUGAUUCUGGAGCUAUGUUGAUUUAAUCUAUUAAGAGCAAAAACAUAAACAU
rnacentral:lncRNA from 1 species